GGGCCUAUAGCUCAGUCGGUUAGAGCAGAGGACUCAUACUCCUUUGGUCCACGGUUCGAGUCCGUGUGGGCCCACCA
rnacentral:tRNA from 1 species